rnacentral:rRNA from 1 species
GACAGAGGGGGCAAGCGUUGCUCGGAAUUACUGGGCGUAAAGGGCGCGUAGGCGGGAUGGCAAGUCGGUCGUGAAAUCCUUCGGCUCAACCGAAGAACGUCGAUCGAUACUGCUGUUCUUGAGGGUUGCAGAGGAGACUGGAAUUCCCGGUGUAGCGGUGAAAUGUGUAGAGAUCGGGAGGAACACCGGUGGCGAAGGCGGGUCUCUGGGCCUUACCUGACGCUCAGGCGCGAAAGCUAGGGGAGCGAACAGG